UAAGUAAAAGUCUGUAACAAGGUCUCCGUUGGUGAACCAGCGGAGGGAUCAUUACAGAAGCUGCAAGACCUCUGUACCACCGUGAAUACUACCUGCUGAACGUUGCUCCGGCGGGCGGUCCCGGGGAGGGACCGCAGCCCGCGAGGGCGCCCGCCGGAGUGCUUAACACCUCUGAAUUUUCCAGGCCCCUCUGAGCAAGAAGACGAGAAUAUAAAUCAAAACUUUCAGCAACGGAUCUCUUGGCUCGGGCACCGAUGAAGAACGCAGCGAAAUGCGAUAAGUAAUGUGAAUUGCAGAACUCCAGCGAGUCAUCGAAUCUUUGAACGCACAUUGCGCCCGGGGGUAUUCUCCCGGGCAUGCCUGUUCGAGCGUCAUUUCCACCCUCGCGCCCGGCGCGGUGUUGGGGCCCUGCAGCUUGCGCAGGCCCUCAAAGGCAGUGGCGGGCUCGCCAGGACGCCCAGCGCAGUAAGCUCAUCUCGCUGGCGGUGUCCUGGAGCGCUCCGGCCGUGAAACCCCUAUUCGCCAGAAAAAGGUUGACCUCGGAUCAGGUAGGAAUACCCGCUGAACUUAAGCAUAUCAAUAAGCGGAGAA
rnacentral:rRNA from 1 species